UACGUAGGGUGCAAGCGUUAAUCGGAAUUACUGGGCGUAAAGCGUGCGCAGGCGGUUAUGUAAGACAGGUGUGAAAUCCCCGGGCUUAACCUGGGAACUGCAUUUGUGACUGCAUAGCUAGAGUACUGGUAGAGGGGGAUGGGAAUUCCGCGUGUAGGCAGUGAAAUGCGUAGAUAUGCGGAGGAACACCGAUGGCGAAGGCAAUCCCCUGGACCUGUACUGACGCUCAUGCACGAAAGCGUGGGGAGCAACAGG
rnacentral:rRNA from 1 species